CCUGCUCCUUUCCAGGAGCUGGAUGUCCCAGCAUCCUGUAAUAAAAAAAUAAAAUAAUAUUAGUAAGUUUUGAUAUGGAGGUAUAUUUUUCGAUACGAAGAUGUAUCUUUCGAUAUAUUUUUUCGAUUCUCGAAUAAAUUAUUUUUAUAUAUUUCAUUCGAUGAUAUGGAGCUAUAGACACCCCUGACCUAUCAAUUAG
rnacentral:lncRNA from 1 species